GUCUGGGUGGGGUGGUCUCCUCUCACGAGGUGUACUGCUCUGUCUGGACUCUCCUUCUGGGGAACCAAUGUUGCUCUUAAUUGGGUGCUUUGGGGAUCCAGGACUUUUACUUUGAAAAAAUUAGAGUGUUCAAAGCAGGCUUAGGCUUGAAUAUAUUAGCAUGGAAUAAUAGAAUAGGACUUUGGUUCUAUUUUGUUGGUUUCUAGAACCGAAGUA
rnacentral:rRNA from 1 species